rnacentral:rRNA from 1 species
AACGAACGCUGGCGGCAGGCCUAACACAUGCAAGUCGAACGCUCCGCAAGGGGAGUGGCGCACGGGUGAGUAACGCGUGGGAAUAUGCCCUUCGGUUCGGAAUAACACAGGGAAACUUGUGCUAAUACCGGAUACGAUCUACGGAUGAAAGAUUUAUCGCCGAGGGAGUAGCCCGCGUAGGAUUAGCUAGUUGUUCAGGUAAUGGCUCACCAAGGCGACGAUGCUUAGCUGGUCGGGGAGGAGGAUCAGCCACACUGGGACUGAGACACGGCCCAGACUCCUACGGGAGGCAGCAGUGGGGAAUAUUGGACAAUGGGCGAAAGCCUGAUCCAGCCAUGCCGCGUGAGUGAUGAAGGCCUUAGGGUUGUAAAGCUCUUUCGCCAGGGAAGAUAAUGACGGUACCUGGAAAAGAAGCCUCGGCUAACUCCGUGCCAGCCGCCGCCGUAA